rnacentral:rRNA from 1 species
GUCUAUGGCUAUGUUACCCUGAAGGUGCUGGAUCUCAUCUGAUCUCGGGAUCUAAGCAGGGUCGGGCCUGGUUAGUACUCGGAUGGGAGACCACCUAGGAAGACCAGGUGCUAUAGGCG